rfam:[Clostridium] hungatei strain DSM 14427 CLHTN_contig000007, whole genome shotgun sequence.
GUUCGCAGUUAUAGUAAGCCAUAGACAGUGGGAGCCAAGGUAGAAAUACUGAAGCCUAACAGAUGUUUACAUCAUCCCGCCGAGGUUGAUAAUCAAUUGCAGUGCAAUUGAUUUAGUUGACAAAGUUGACCAAGUAAACUUUGAAACGGUUAAUCACCCUUUGUGUGUCUGUGUGCAUACAAAGGGUUUUUUAUAUAUCA